rnacentral:lncRNA from 10 species
GGGCCCACCCAGCCAACUACUGGCCCAGACUUGGCCCGCGGAGAGAGCAGACAGGGAACGCCGGGAGCAGGACCGGGCGCGGAGGGCUGGGGCCGGGGACCCGGGGCGGCGGGUCCGAGUGGGAGAAAGGAGCGGCGGAGGGGGCCUAGAGUUACUCGGGCUCCCGGGACUCCCCGAAGGGCAGAAAUAAGUUUCUAAAAAUAGGCAGCGGCCUGCCGGAAGAAGUGAGUGAACGGAAAGGCACAAAGCACACACCCUCCCCGCACCCCUAAGGAGACGCCCGCAGUCCCCACUCACCCGCGCCGAGAGGCUGUGGGCGGUGCAGGAGGGAUCCGGAAGAGACGAGGCAGGAAGAAACUCCUGGUCCUUUCGCUUUUAAGGAACGUGCCACCUAGACAAGUGUUCCAGCCUCCGGUGAACCAGUCUUCCUAGUGAGAGCACGAGAAGCCCGUUGUCCUUCAUUCCUCAGCUAUGGAUUUCCCUGAAAGUUGAGAACUGACCAUAUUCUCGAUGCCUCCUCCGACCUGUGAUUUCAUGACUCACAUCGCUUCCCCAGAACCUGCUUAACAGACGGGAUUCCUGAGAAUGGAGCAGAGUUUGAAUUCAGAGUCCUGGCUUUGCCAUACCAGCAGUUAUAAUUGUCCUUCUGUUGUUUGAUGACCUCCCUGCCCUGCUUCAAAAGGAAGAGAAAUCAAAGAGUUGACGACCCUGAGCGCAAGGCCUGGGACGUUCUUCCCCAAACUCGCUUUAAUAUCACCUUCUCAAAAGAACUCUUCCCUGAACACCUUGUCUCAAGAUGUUCUCUAGUUUGUCUUCUUGUUCUGUCAUUUAUUUGUCUGUUCAUUGUUUGUGUGUUUUUUGAGGCGGAGUCUAGCUCUGUCGCCUAGGCUGGAGUGCAGUGGCACGAUCUCGGCUCUCUGCAACCUCUGCCUCCUGGGUUCAAAGCGAUUCUUGUACCUCAGCCUCCCAAGUAGCUGGGAUUACAGGCGUGUACCACCAUGCCCGGCUAAUUUUUGUAUUUUCAGUGGAUACGGGGUUUCAUCAUGUUGGCCAAGCUGGGCUCUAACUCCUGACCUCAGGGGAUCUGCAUUUGAGGAUAAACCCUGUCUUGGCUCCUCCCUGACGGGGGUGAGAAGUAGCCCUCCUGGAAUUGCCUCAAAGCCCCCGGUUAUCACCAGUGUUCUCGGUUGCAAAUUACGAAACAUAAAUAAACUCAGACUAACAGAUGCAGCAAAGGAAUUUAUCAGGAAGGAAUGGGGAGCUCCCAGAACUGAUGGGAAGGCUGGAGAACCAGGCUCAGAAAAUGCACUGAAGUGGUGAGCGCAGAGGCUUGAAUGUUGCCAGGACUCUCCUCCCAGUCCUUUAUCUCUUCUCUCUGUAUGCGAGCUUUUCUCCUCAAGGCUAGGCACCUGGCUGCAGCAGCGCUCACCACUCACAACUCUCACCCGUUCCACCGGAGAGAGACUGAGGAUUUCUGCUUCUGGUCUGAAGGACAAAAUUUUAGGGAAAAACUUUGAUUGGUCCAACAUAGAUGGAGAAAUGACAACUGGAGAGGGGAGUUCUACUGGAGAGGGGAGUUCACACAUAUACACUGAAAGCUGCCCAUCAAAAGAGUUGCAGAACCAGGACUACAGCCCUUGCAUCUUGACUGCCAGUACGAUGCAGGUUAAACUCUGUGUUUGAUGCUUGUUGAUGUGGACGUCUGGAACUUGAAUAGAAGACAUUUCUUAUUUCAGAUGCAUCCAUUAGCAGGUCUUAGCCAGGAGCCAGGCCCUUGCAAGUAUAUAUUGCAAGUAAUUGAUGACAUUGGAGCCAGAAAUCGAAUGAACCGGGCCCAGUUCAAUCCACUUACUGGACAAGCUCCUCAAGCACUCUAAGCCCCAAUUUCCUCCUCUGUAAAGUGGGCAUAAAUUACAUUUACCUUGAGGGUUGCUGUGAAGGCU